ACAGAUCGACUCAAAGUUAGGAAGCAGCUUCUCGACUGUAGCAUUUGUAAUUGUUGUGGCUACUUGCACCAUACUAGCAAUGAUUGCGACUGUACCACUUGCUCAACUUCUAUGCUUCCAUAUUCUUCUAAUCAAGAAGUUUGAUGUCAUCCCUCCGGAGAUUGGCAUGUCCCAAAACCCAGGAAGUAAGAAGAUGAAGGUAGCAGAUGGAGCAAGAAGACGAAACGGA